UUGAAAAUCAUGAAAAAAAAGCCUUUAAAAGUCAAAUAGAAAAGAAAGUUAUAAUACUUAGGUGAUAAGGUCUCGAUUUUCAACAUUAUAGUAAAUGAAUUAUCAAGAAAUUUAUACAAUAUAGCCAAAUUCAAUAAUUCACAGUAAUUCAGAAAAUGAAAAUAAUUACUUGUGGUUUUGAGAGACAUUCUAUGAUCUUUUCUAAAAUUCCCUAGAAGAUUUGCCCUCCUAAUAUGAUUAUCAAAGUUAAGUGGAAUAAGGUUUUGUUAGUUACUGGUUUGACUUUUCUAUAUCUUGCCUCCAAUUCAGAUGAGCAUCUACCUUUAGGUGUCUUCAACUGUUUGAACAGGCUGCCUUGUAUGAAGAUAUAUAAACAUGCGUUUCUGCAAAUAAAGCACCCUUGUUUCACUCGAGACUUGGGUCCCCUGCGUCCCUCUUCUCGUUGACUGCAGUCUCCAGGUCCCAAUCUACAGAGAGCGUGACAAGUGGCACCUGAACAGGGACCUGGUGAAGCCCUUGGCAAGCAGACGGAGUGACUGUUAGGACCUACGGAGGUCGUUCCUGGAAAAUAGGAAUGAGCAGAGCUGCACGCAGUUCUCAGGACUGAGAUCAUGAGAAAGGGCACCUGCUUGGAUUCCUUUCAGUGACUCCCUUUGGGGACCUUUUACUUAAAGAAUUUUGUGGUUUUCUGUCAAACAUCAGCAAGAAUCAGGCAUAGGUACACCCAUGUUACAAGUUCCUCUGGAUGCAUCUUAUCCAAUCAUUUUUAUACCCUGGUGCAACCCGCUCCUUCCAACUUUCUGGCCUCACACACCCCCUUCCUCAUUACCCUGUACAUUUUAGACCCACUGGAUGAUUUACUCUUCCUCAAGUUACCAUGUGCUUUCACACCUGCAUGCCUUGUUCAAGUUGUUCCUCUUGCUAAACUUGCCUCUUCCCCUUCACGUGGGAAACUUCUAUUUAACCUUUACAGCUCAAUUAAAAUGAUUUUGUCUACCAA